UGGCUUGGCUUUAGUUCUGGCUUGAGUCUGCUAGGUUUUGGCGUACAGCUACUGCACACAUACCGUACUUUCAUCUUAAUCUUGCUUGAGUCCUGUUGGGUGGGAUGUGUCAGGGGCUGCUUGUUAGGUCAGGGAAUAACGAUUGUAGGAUAUGAUUUAAGGGUUCAGUUGAUAAGGUGUGUGUUUGUCCUUCCCUGUUGCUUUGAUAUGAGAAACUGAACUGGACAGACAGUGGGGGAGAGUGUGGUUAGGUCAGAGAGAGUUUGUUUUGAUAAUGGCAUUGCAAGAGAUAGAAGGAAGGAGCUGUCAUUGCCUCAUAAUAAGCAAGUGAUAAUAAGCAAGUGAAGGGCUGGGUAAGGAAGUGAUGUCAGUUACCUCAAUAUGGCAAGCUGAAAAGACCGGGACAAGAGCAUAGUUAGGUGUUGAUACUACAGCAAGAUACAGUAGGGAGAAGCUGUUUUUACCUCAUAGUAAGCAAAUGUAGGGCUGGGUAAGGCUGUGCUUCCUACCCUUAGCAUGAGAAACUGAAGAGGAAUGAGAGAGUGGCUAGGUUAGAGAGGCUUCGAGUUAAUAGCAUAGCAAGGUACAGUAAAAAGAAGCUGUUGUUGCCACAAUAAGCAGGUAAAGGGCUGGGUAAGGCUGUCGCUCCUAUUCUCUAAGUAUGACAAGCUGAACAGACAGGAAUGAAAGUACAGUUAGGUCAGAGAAGGAGAAGAAGAAAUGGCAAGUGAUAGAAGGAAGGAAGGAGCUGUUGUUGCCUCAUAAUAAGCAGGUGAGGGCUCUGUAUGAAGGCAGUGUGGUGGGAGGCAGUGAAUCUUUGGGCUCCAGUGGGUGUAGUUCCUGUUGUGGCCGGUAAUUGGAUAAAGGAGUGCACCAUUUUUUCCAGCCCAGCUAACACCUCCCUCAGUAACGUAAUGGUUGGGUGUGUGGGUGAAUGUACAGGUUAUAGGGUGGGGACUUUGUUGUUUGUGGUGUUAUAUUUAGAAAGGUGAUGGUAGAUAUGAAUUCCCUGCCUUGAGUGCAUAAUUUUUUCCAUCCCAACGAUCGCCUCCUUCGGUAACGUAAUGGUCGGGUGUGUGGGUGAAUGUACAGGUUAUAGGGAGGAGGGACUUUGUUGUUUAUUCUGUGUUAUAUAUAGAAAGAUAAUGGUAGAUAUGAAUUCCCUGUCUCUAAGUUUAGUGUUUAUUUUGCCAAGUGAGGACAGAAAGUAACUCCAUGAAGAAGAAAAGGAGGAGGAGGAGGAGUAAAAGGAGGAAGAGAGAAAAAGAAUGAUAAGAAUAAGGAAUAAUGAUGUUAAAAGAAGAAGGAUGUUAAACAGAAAGAAAACAAAGCAGAAGAAGAAGAAGAAGAAGAGAAAGGAGGAGACAGACAAAUUAGAAUGAAGCAUAAAAUAAGGAGAUAGAUAAAUUAACAUAGAUAAAAA